CGCAUCUGUGCAUGCAGCAUAUCAAUAAGCGGAGGAAAAGAAACUAACAAGGAUUCCCUUAGUAACGGCGAGUGAAGCGGGAAGAGCUCAAAUUUGAAAUCUUAAAGGGUUUUCCCUUGACGAAUUGUAGUUUAAAGAAGUGUUUUCUGUUGAAGUUUUGGUAAAAGUUCUUUGGAAUAGGACAUCAUAGAGGGUGAGAAUCCCGUAUUUGACCAUUAUUUUCAGCUGUGUGAUACACUUUCAAAGAGUCGGAUUGUUUGGGAAUGCAGUCCAAAAUGGGUGGUAAAUUUCAUCUAAAGCUAAAUAUUGGCGAGAGACCGAUAGCGAACAAGUACCGUGAGGGAAAGAUGAAAAGAACUUUGAAAAGAGAGUUAAACAGUACGUGAAAUUGUCAAAAGGGAAGCGUUUGACACCAGUGUUGUUUUCUCGAAAAUCAAUUAAAAAGAGUUAGAUUUUGUUGUGUAUUGACCUUAACAGCUUGCAUUUCAAUUUUCUUGCUUUUUUUAAUGCACUUUUCGUUUAACAAGUCAACAUCAGUUUCUUUUGUUGUAAAAAGGUCAUCGGAAGGUGGCUUUCUUUUCGGAGAAAGUGUUUAUAGCCUUUGACUCCUGCAAUCGGAGAGACUGAGGUCUGCAGCGUAGAUCCUUCGGGGUUAGAUACAUUUGUGCUAAGUUAUAGCUUUUUAUAGACAACUUGUUGACUAUGAUUAGUCUUGUAGCUUACUCGCUUAUGCUAUUUUACCUACGCUUAGGAUGUUGAUGUGAUACUGCGAGCA
rnacentral:rRNA from 1 species